AACUGAUACUACCUGCGGGAACCUGCGGAAGGAUCAUUACCGAGUUAUCAACUCCCAAACCCCUGUGAACAUACCCGAACGUUGCCUCGGCGGGACCGCCCCGGCGCCCCUAGCGGCCCGGAACCAGGCGCCCGCCGGAGGACCCAAACUCUUGCUUUAAACAGUGGCAUACUCUCUGAGUCUCACAAACAAAAAAUAAAUCAAAACUUUUAACAACGGAUCUCUAGAUCGGAAGAGCAC
rnacentral:misc_RNA from 1 species